UAACCUACUCGACAUCUCCUUUUCCCCCUCCAGCAUUGAGCUCCUUCUCCCGAGCCUUCACCCGCCGACCUCUCCCUCGCGUGAGCCCUACCCCUCUUCAUCACCGACUUUUCCUCGAGCACUCAUCUCACGACGUCGCUCCCUCCUCCUUCGCCGGCCUCUCUUCUCUCCCGAGCCACAGUUGAGUCUCCUUCCUUCCCUCUUGCGAGCUCCCGGACGCCACCAGCCUUUCCUCCUCACGCGAGCAGCAUAGCCGGUGAUCUCUACUCCACGCGAAUAGCACAACGACAAUCCUUCUCCCUCGCACGAGCACCGCGGACCACAGUCGUCGAUCCUCUUCUCUCCGAGCCGUGCCCUGAUUGAUCCAGACACUGCUACGAGCCAAGUGUUCCGAAGUGGAGGCAGCCUAGCACGAUCGACAAGUAAAUGCGGGUAGCUGUAGAUGAUUCAUGGAUGCUUGGGGAGAUGCCGGCUGCCAGUCCUGGGUCCUGCAUUUUUAUCGGUUUUAUUUUCGCUUUACUUGUAUUUUUAGUAUUCAGCAGUUUUAGUAUUGUAUGAAUUGAUCUAUGUUUGGAGUUUGAUUUGUGGUGUUUUGGUUUUCGUGAUCGUGUGGUUGUGUAAGCCUAAUUGGCUAGUAAACUUUAGUUGUGGAUUGUAGGUUUUCUCUUCGUUUUUAUGCUAUGUUUUUGAUAUA